AACAACGGUCUCCGAGUCCGACUCCUUUCCUCCUGACAACUUUCUAGAACAUCACCGCGUCAAAUAUCCUGUUUAACACUACCAAGGUAGCCUGAAACGGAACACUUCCUUGAGUAACGUCAGCAAGAAAGAGGUGGAGACAGCCCUCGGAAAAUGGUUUACAAAUGCUCGCGAUAGAGAUGGCAACCGUGCCUUGAGAGCCCAGCCGAGGAGAGCAGCACAGUCAGAGGUGUUUGAAGCUGAGGAUUCUUUACAGUAACAGGACUUUAUUUGAGUUUUUUGACAUUCAUUUCAAUAAAAGAAUCCUUGAUUGACA